rnacentral:rRNA from 1 species
UUCCGGUUGAUCCUGCCGGAGGUCACUGCUAUCGGUGUUCGACUAAGCCAUGCGAGUCAAAUGUUCUUCGUGAACAUGGCGUACUGCUCAGUAACACGUGGAUAACCUGCCCUUAGGUCUGGCAUAACCCCGGGAAACUGGGGAUAAUUCCGGAUAGAUCAUGGAUGCUGGAAUGCACCGUGGUCGAAAGCUUUUGUGCCUAAGGAUGGGUCUGCGGUCUAUCAGGUUGUAGUGGGUGUAACGUACCUACUAGCCUACGACGGAUACGGGUUGUGGGAGCAAGAGCCCGGAGAUGGAUUCUGAGACAUGAAUCCAGGCCSUACGGGGCGCAGCAGGCGCGAAAACUUUGCAAUGCGGGAAACCGCGAUAAGGGGACACCGAGUGCCAGCAUCCUAUGUUGGCUGUCCAUAUGUAUAAAUAACAUGUGUUAGCAAGGGCCGGGCAAGACCGGUGCCAGCCGCCGCGGUAACACCGGCGGCCCGAGUGGUGGCCACUAUUAUUGGGUCUAAAGGGUCCGUAGCCGGUUUGGUCAGUCUUCCGGGAAAUCUGACGGCUUAACCGUUAGGCUUUCGGGGGAUACUGCCAGGCUUGGGACCGGGAGAGGUAAGAGGUACUACGGGGGUAGGAGUGAAAUCUUGUAAUCCCUGUGGGACCACCAGUGGCGAAGGCGUCUUACCAGAACGGGUCCGACGGUGAGGGACGAAAGCUGGGGGCACGAACCGGAUUAGAUACCCGGGUAGUCCCAGCCGUAAACUAUGCUCGCUAGGUGUCAGGGACGGUGCGACCGUUUCUGGUGCCGUAGGGAAGCCGUGAAGCGAGCCACCUGGGAAGUACGGUCGCAAGGCUGAAACUUAAAGGAAUUGGCGGGGGAGCACUACAA